GUCUUGACGGUUAAACAACUGACAAGUGACAAGUUCAAAAUUUAGGUUAUGUUAUUACUUUCUAUUCCUAUUCAGUGCUUUAUUAAUCGGAUUAUUGUCAAUGUGAUUAUCUAACUGCUUUUAAUUCAUUAAAAUACGUCUCCUAAUUUAUAAUUGUGUACUACAUAAUAAUUCAUAUUUAAACAAUAUAAAAAUCACUGAAAAAGAGAAAAAAAGUACGUCAGCUGAUCACUUAUUUACACUUUAAGAUCACAUCACAAACAGCGCUGUUGGCCAUCUGUCAACAAGCAAAUUACAAUUUAGCUUUGUCAAAAUUGCUAAUUUAUGUGUUCUAAACAAAUUAGCCUUUUCCGUUUCAUAUAAUUUUGUAGUUUUUUCGUUAGAAGAUGAACGCCAGGUCGUGAAUCAUUAAUAAUUCACCGCUUUGACCUGGCGAUGGCAGGAGAUUCUUAUGAAGUUUCAAUAAAAGCUCUUAGUACUAAAACAAUCGCCUUAUUGUCGACACUUCUCAAUCCGCCCAAGAUUAUUCUCACCGAGGACGGAUUGCCACGCGAUUGGAAUGGGUUAGCGGAAUUAGUUGGAAUUAGCGGGGAAUGCAUACCAAGUUUGCAGAAUGCUAAGGAUCAUACUAAAAAACUGUUAAGUGUGUGGCACGAGAAGGAUCAAAAGUCCAGUACCAUUUGCAACCUUUUGACUCAUUUAGAGAAAUUGGAUCGGUUCGAUGUUGUAGAGGACGUACAAUAUUUUAUUGGUAAACAUUUUAUUUUAUUAUAGUGACAUUAAAUUGGCAGUUAUUUCGGUUCUUAUCAUGUUUAAUUGGGAUUCCAUAAACUUUAUCUCAUCAUAAAUUGCGUAAUUGUUUACUGGGCGAUUCUUAGUAAAUUAGAAAAUAUCAAUUUCUUGGAUUUUGCAUUAUAAAAUUUCAUUUUGCAAAAGCCAAUAAUGCCCCAUUCCUUUGCAAGUGUCUGUGUCUCACUUUGAUCAAUCAGCUCCUUGUUCAUCUCACAUUUAUGUUCAUUCGCAAGGCCAAGUAUUUCUAUAAUUAUAGACAAAACAGCAACACAAUAAUUGCGCUCAAGGUUAUUUUUUGACCACUACUGGGACUACAAUGGCCUUGCCAAAGAAAAUUUCAGCUUUUGAAAAACGCAAAUCUUACAUUUUUCAUUCAUUUAUUGCAGAAAUAAUCACAUGAGGAGGAGAAUAAAAAUAAGUAUGUCAGCAGAAAAAAUUUGAAAUGCGUUGCUUUUGAUUGAUAUGUGGGAUGACUUGUUCGAAAAAUUGCAAUUUCAUUUGUUUUUUUUCUUUUCUUACUUGCAGUCUAAUUUGGUGAAAUAGACUUACCUACACAGAUUAAAUAUCUGUGUCCUGUGCUUUGUAAUUCCCAGAUCCAAAUCCAAUUUGA